CGUCUGGUAAUUGGAAUGAGUACAAUUUAAAUCCCCUAACGAGGAUCAAUUGGAGGGCAAGUCUGGUGCCAGCAGCCGCGGUAAUUCCAGCUCCAAUAGCGUAUAUUAAAGUUGCUGCAGUUAAAAAGCUCGUAGUUGAAUUUCUGGUACGAUGUGCCUGGUCCACGGUCGCAAGGCCGCGCGUAUCGGAGUACGUCUGCCAUCCUUCUAGUUAACUGGCUAUACUUAACUGUGUGGUCAGCAACCUAGAUCUUUUACUUUGAAAAAAUUAGAGUGUUUAAAGCAGGCUCGCGCUGUGAAUACAUUAGCAUGGAAUAAUAAUUUAGGACUUUGCUUCUAUUUUAUUGGUUUCUAGGGGUAAAGUAAUGAUUGAUAGGGAUAGUUGGGGGUGCUAGUAUUCAUCGGCCAGAGGUGAAAUUCUUGGAUUCGAUGAAGACUAACUUAUGCGAAAGCAUUCACCAAGGAUGUCUUCUUUAAUCAAGAACGAAAGUUGGGGGAUCGAAGACGAUCAGAUACCGUCGUAGUCUCAACCAUAAACUAUACCGACUAGGGAUUAGUGGAAGUUGCUAUAUCGACUCCAUUAGCACCUUAUGAGAAAUCAGAAGUCUUUGGGUUCUGGGGGGAGUAUGGUCGCAAGGCUGAAACUUAAAGGAAUUGACGGAAGGGCACCACCAGGAGUGGAGCCUGCGGCUUAAUUUGACCCAACACGGGGAAACUUACCAGGUCCGGACAUAGUGAGGAUUGACAGAUUGAAGUUCUUUCUUGAUUCUAUGGGUGGUGGUGCUUGGCCGUUCUUAGUUGGUGGAGUGAUUUGUCUGGUUAAUUCCGUUAACGAACGAGACCUCGACCUGCUAAAUAGUAUGACGUAGGCUCUGUCUAUGGACAUGACUUCUUAGAGGGACUGUCGGUUUUUAGCCGAAGGAAGUUCGAGGCAAUAACAGGUCUGUGAUGCCCUUAGAUGUUCUGGGCCGCACGCGCGCUACACUGAUACGUGCAUCGAGCUUACAACCUUGGCUGGGAGGCCUGGGUAAUCUUUGAAAAGCGUAUCGUGCUGGGGAUAGAUUAUUGUAAUUAUUAAUCUUCAACGAGGAAUACCUAGUAAGCGCGAGUCAUCAACUCGCACUGAUUACGUCCCUGCCCUUUGUACACACCGCCCGUCGCUGCUACCGAUUGAAUGCAUUAGUGAGCUUGAGGGAUCGUUUAGCUUGAGGGUCAAACUUCGAGUUAAGUGAGAACUCACGCAAACUUGCGCAUUUAGAGGAAGCAAAAGUCGUAACAAGGUU
rnacentral:rRNA from 1 species